rnacentral:misc_RNA from 1 species
CUGUGUUGCUUACCCCGCWGAGGAAUUCGWUGGCUUUGGUGUCCCCAUCCGUCUUGCGCCCCUUCGGGGUGCGGGGCGGACKCGGGGUGGGCUCCGUGUUCCCCGYGUGUCGGGCGCGUUGACGCUCGGCCGCUGUGGCCCAUGGGGUCUCGCCCGUGCUCUCGGAUGCGGAAUGCUGUGUGUGGGCGUGGGGGUCUCGGCCCCUGCUCGCCCGAGCUGCACGCAUUGUCCCUUGACAUGAACGACCGUCGCGCCCGUCUUGGUCGGCCGACCGUGCCCCCGUCGCGGGGCUGCGGGAGGGCGGCUCAUGCGGGCGUCGGCGUCGGAGAGGAAUGC